rnacentral:tRNA from 1 species
UCCUCUAUGGUGUAGUGGUAGCACGGGAGGCUCUAACCCUCCAGGUCCGGGUUCGAUUCGAUGGUAGAGGGA